GAAGGUUAUACUCGCUCCUUUAUCACCUCAAGAGGUAUAUGCUGAUCAAAUAAAGAUGCUGGAGAGGGAGAGGGAGGCUUCGGCCUUGGCUACAAAGGGGAGUGAGAGCUUGAGUUCUGCAGUAAAAAUGAGAGAAAAGUGUGAGUCUGAGGGUAAAGAGGCUGGAAAAGAAUCAAGACCAAUAAAUGGCCCAUUGGUGAGAG
rnacentral:lncRNA from 1 species